rnacentral:rRNA from 1 species
GACGUAGGGCGCGAGCGUUGUCCGGAUUUAUUGGGCGUAAAGAGCUCGUAGGCGGCUUGUCGCGUCGUUCGUGAAAAACCUGCAGCUCAACUGCAGGCUUGCGGUCGAUACGGGCAGGCUAGAGUUCGGUAGGGGAGACUGGAAUUCCUGGUGUAGCGGUGAAAUGCGCAGAUAUCAGGAGGAACACCGGUGGCGAAGGCGGGUCUCUGGGCCGAUACUGACGCUGAGGAGCGAAAGCGUGGGGAGCGAACAGG